GACGAACGCUGGCGGCGUGCCUAACACAUGCAAGUCGAACGGAGUGUUUAUUUAUAAACACUUAGUGGCGAACGGGUGAGUAACGCGUAGACAACCUACCCUCUAGAUGGGGACAACACCGCGAAAGUGGUGCUAAUACCGAAUGUUGUAAUGUUAUUGCAUAAUGAUAUUACUAAAGGUGGCCUCUAUAUAAAAGCUACCGCUAGAAGAUGGGUCUGCGUCUGAUUAGCUAGUUGGUGAGAUUACAGCUCACCAAGGCAAUGAUCAGUAGCCGGUCUGAGAGGAUGAACGGCCACACUGGGACUGAGACACGGCCCAGACUCCUACGGGAGGCAGCGGUGGGGAAUCUUCCGCAAUGGACGAAAGUCUGACGGAGCAACGCCGCGUGAGUGAAGAAGGUUUUCGGAUCGUAAAGCUCUGUCUUCAAGGACGAAUGUAGAUAUUGUGAAUAAUGAUAUUUAAUGACGGUACUUGAGGAGGAAGCCACGGCUAACUACGUGCCAGCCGCCGCGGUAA
rnacentral:rRNA from 1 species